rnacentral:rRNA from 1 species
CCUACGGGUGGCAGCAGUAGGGAAUCUUCCACAAUGGGCGAAAGCCUGAUGGAGCAACGCCGCGUGGGUGAAGAAGGUCUUCGGAUCGUAAAACCCUGUUGUUAGAGAAGAAAGUGCGUGAGAGUAACUGUUCACGUUUCGACGGUAUCUAACCAGAAAGCCACGGCUAACUACGUGCCAGCAGCCGAGGUAAUACGUAGGUGGCAAGCGUUAUCCGGAUUUAUUGGGCGUAAAGGGAACGCAGGCGGUCUUUUAAGGCUGAUGGGAAAGCCUUCGGCUUAACCGGGGUAGUGCAGUGGAAACUGGGAGACUUGAGUGCAGAAGAGGAGAGUGGAACUCGAUGUGUAGCGGUGAAAUGCGUAGAUAGAUGGAAGAACACCAGUGGCGAAAGCGGCUCUCUGGUCUGUAACUGACGCUGAGGUUCGAAAGCGUGGGUAGCAAACAGGAUUAGAUACCCUGGUAGUC